ensembl:snRNA U2 U2 spliceosomal RNA
AUUGUUUCCCCACCUUUUGCCUAAGAUCGAGUGUAAUAUCUGUUUUACUAGUUUAAUAUCUGAUACAUCCUCUGUCUGAGGACAAUAUAGUAAGUGGAUUUUGGAGUGGGGAGCUAGAACAGGGGCUUGCUUCAGUCACUCUAUGCAUAGACCUGGUAUUACUUCCAGGAACGAUGUGUGGCCC